rnacentral:lncRNA from 1 species
UAGUACAACUUGGACUGCACAAUGACUGACUCCACCUUACUUGCCCGGAACAAAGUUGGUGGCAAAUGCCCAUGCGUUGUUGUUGACAGGGUCGGAGAGGUGGUCAGCGAGGUUCUCUAAUGGACCCUUGCCGGUGACGAUGGCUUGCACAAAGAAACCGAACAUGGAAAACAUGGCGAGGCGACCGUUCUUGAUCUCCUUAACCUUGAGCUCGGCGAAUGCCUCGGGGUCGUCGGCAAGGCCGAGCGGGUCAAAACUGCCACCCGGGUAGAGCGGGUCGACGAUCUCACCGAGCGGCCCACCGGCAAUGCGGUAGCCCUCGACGGCGCCCAUGAGCACGACCUGACAAGCCCAGAUGGCAAGGAUACUUUGUGCGUGCACAAGGCUUGGGUUGCCGAGGUAGUCGAGGCCGCCCUCGCUGAAGAUCUGGGAUCCAGCCUUGAACCAAACAGCCUCGCCGAACUUCACACCGUUGCGGGCGAGCAGCUCGGGGAAGACGCAACCGAGCGCGCCAAGCAUGGCCCAGCGGCAGUGGAUCACCUCGAGUUCCCGGUUCUUGGCGAAGGUCUCGGGGUCAGCCGACAGACCAGCGGUGUCCCACCCGUAGUCGCCGGGGAACUCACCGGUCAGGUAGCUCGGGGGCUCACCAGAAAGCGGGCCAAGGUAGAGCACGCGGUCAGAGCCGUACCACGGGCUGCCGGAGGCAACCUGCUUGACCUUUGCUGCAGUCUUGCGCAUGGUAACGCGAGCCUCCCCGAAAAGAGAUGGCGAUGGUAAGCUCUUCACUGCCUUGCCGGCGAAGGCUGGGGAGGAGAGUGACAUGGUGGUUGCGGCCAUUCUGAUUGAUUAGGUUCUGUGUUGUUCUCCAAGAAUGAGGAGUGAAGGUGGAGAUGGCUUGAGAGGAUUGGAGCAGGGGGGCUUCUUAAGGCAGAGGGCGGAGAGAGGGAAUCGACCGUUGUGCUGAAGAAAUCUGUAUUUUGGAUGUCAUUGGUGCAGAGUGAGAGCCACAAGGAGAUCAGAUACACUUUUAAGAUCUUGUGGAUAUGGCUAGCUGGGAAUCUCCUUAGAGAGCAGUUAUUGGAUGACACGCUGGUAUGCACGUGAGCAUAUCAUGUAUUUUCCCCCCAAAGGACAUUAUAGGAUAUCCAUUCUUGCAACCAAGGAUUGCCACCGCAUUUGGUGAGCAAAUUUCUAUUUGACUGACUCUACAUUUUACUGACAUAAUUGGAUAUCCCAUUAUUACUUUUUGACGGCUACGGCGGGCUUACGCCGGCCUGAAUCAUUUUGAUUAUCAUAAGUUAGAGUUGUGUCGAAUAUUGUGUACAAGGUACGUUACAGUUGGACUCUGAGUUGUAUUGUAUUUAUAUAGGAUGUAGAGUCGUGUCCUAGUAGGACACUUGUAUCCUAGGCCUCUCGUAUAUAGCGGAGGUAGACACACGAUAUAACCUAUGCCAACAUAAUAUCACCGGAACGCAGGGGAAGCCGGCGGCAUGUGACGGUGUCCAGGGCGACAGGGUGCUGUAUUGUAGCGGUAUCAUGGGGAAGAGCGCCCAUAGUCAGGCCCCGGGGAUGUAGCCAUAUCGGUGAACCUCGUUAACAAAUCUCGAUAUCGUGCUCGUGUGAUUGCUUGGUUCUCGGAUGAUCGACGGACUCGAAUUUAUUUUAACAAGUGGUAUCAUGAGCUAGGUUGUCCGGAGGUUGUGGAUUGUUGAUCUAGAGAAAUUGUCGAGUCUGAGAUUGCAGCCAGAAGCGGCGUGGUUCUCGACGAGAUUGAAAAAGAUAGCAACAAUAUUUUGCCGAAGCAAUUAGGCGAGUUCGUCGUCGGUGUUGCAGAUCAGCGGAUGUUGGUCCUUGGAAUCUUUGUGGAGCAAUCAAGAGGCAGUAGCACAGGUUUGGCAUAUUGAAUCGGUACGCAGGCGGUGAAUCCAACAGUUUGAUCUCGGUGAGUUGACUUGAGGCGCGUGGGCGUAUGCCACCAGCAGGGAGACGUGCGGCGAGAGUAUUUAGCAAAAAACUACUACAAUUUGUGGAACCGUGCCUACAAACUACCAUUUUACAAAUUUGUGCCGAAAACUACCAUUUUCGUACUAAUCCUUGACUAAAAACUACCAAGUCUGAAAAGAGCCCGAUUUGACUCUUUUAAGCGCGUUUCUGCCAGAGUUGGCCCACACAUAAGCAGGCUAAAAAAGCAAUCGGGUCCUUAGUUUUUUUUUCAAAAAAGCGAUCCACUCCUUGGCGAGGCCCAGCACGCUCGCGGCGACGGCGGCGGCGGCGGCGGCUGCUGCGCACGCACGCAAGCCAGCCGGCCAGCAAGCGGCGAGUGUCGUGGCGGUGGUGCUCGUUCUCCUCUACUUCUCCCCGCUGCAGCAGCUCGCUGAGCAGCAGCAGCCCAGCCCCUCUUCUUCUUCUCCACUGUCUCCUCUCCGUCUCCUUCUCCUCUGCCUCCUCUCCUUCUCUUGCAGCAGCAGCACGGGCACAAGCUCCUCCUCUCGCGCAGCCCCGCCGCCCUGCCCAGCCGCACCUCGUCGCAGCCCCACUGCCGCACGCGCACACGCAGCCGUGCGCACAGCCCUUGCGCAACCGCUCGAGCAGCUGCCCCGCCGGCUCGCCGCAGCAGCGCGUGCAGGAUCCUCCUCUUGCCUGACGCAGCCGGGCCCCAUGGCACGCGCAGCUCGCAGGGCCGCCGUGAGCUCGUCACGCCGCCGCCGUCACGCAUCCCAGUGCCUCCUCGCACGCGUGCACGCAGCCGCCCGCCCCCUCCAGUCGCUGGAGGACUGGAUUGCUUUUUAAAAAAAACUAGGGACCCGAUUGCUGUUUUAGCCUGCUUAUGUGUGGGCCAACUCUGUCAGAAACGCGCUUAAAAGAGACAAAUCGGGCUCUUUUUAGACUUGAUAGUUUUUUGCCACGGUUUAAGAAAAAAGCGGUAGUUUUUCGCACAAAAUCGUAAAAUGGUAGUUUUUCGUCACGGUUUCGUGAAUUGUGGUAGUUUUUGGUUAAAUACUCCGUGCGGCGAUCGAUGACCCGAUCGGGCGAGCGUACUGGCGGCGGCCUAGCGUACAAGCGUACCUCUAUACUGAUGGGAUCGUUGGCCGUUUGCUGGCCCAUGGCCGGUGUGGAGGCUGCUAGGGAGGCUGCGUGCGUACAGGUACUACGUGAGAUUUGUUUUGGAAAAAAAGAGGACCGGGUCCUCGUGUACGACACGGAAAGAGGCAGCAGCAGAACGAAUCGGCAAAGGAAAUCUAUUGAUACAUGUUUCACGUCCAUUGGAAAUAGCAAGGCUGUGGCAAGGCAAAAGCUAGCACCGUGAGUUGAGCCUAGUAGUUUUUACACGCGAGGACCGGAAUGUUUUCUGGUUGGAACUGCUGUAGUACGUGGAGGCUGUUCGUGUACUUGAGGCAUCACGUGGAAAGCUUGAAUAAUUUUUCACAGGGUCAGUCAUAUGAAGAACCAUGGCGCUAACGGGUAUCAGGUUUAAGGUGAAGAAAUUUACGAAAUUGAAAACCUUGGAUUAUGACAGACAAGGGUGAAAGUUUUAAUGGCACAACAGUGAUGCUUGAAGGCGUUGCAGGAAGUCAGGUCAGCUAAGAUGGAAUUAUUAUGUGUUGGAUGGAAAUUUGCGGAAGACGAUUUGGGAGCCUCGAGCGUGUCAUACAGAUGAACGAGUUCGGCUGGGUCGGACUAGGCAGUCUGACGGAUCGACGCAAGUCGGUUGGUACAGAAGACGGUGGUGGAUCGGCGACGACGACAUAGGAACGUGAUGCUGAUGGUGACCGACUUCUGGGCGUGAAAACACGUGGCGCAGGCCCUGAAGGCUUGUGUGGCUUCGACAAGACUAUGGUGCGGGUUUGAUUCAAGGUGAUGUACACACGGAGCUUGAAGUCGACGGGGCGCAAGGGUGGACUGAUCAUCUACCAAGGAGUCAUGUUGAAGGUGGAGUUGGAGUCUGUAAGACUUCACUUGGUGCUGGAUUGAGGGGCUACGGUGUAAGGAUCCAGGGAAUCGAAGCCUAUUCAGCAGGAAAAUCGAGUGACACACAAUUCGGACUGGAGCCCAGUGGUCUGAUGGAAGCGUGAAACUCAUCAUCGGUCGGUGAUGAUCGGUGGUACUCUGUAGUGGGGGUUGAGUGGUGUGGGUCCGCGGCCCUUGAGACUCGACCGGGACAGCGGAGGCUUGACGCGGUAAUAGCGGCAAGGCGUACGGUACUCACGAGACAUGGAGAUGGGCCAGGGCUCUGGUGGUCAUACAUGUGGUGAGACAACUGCGAAUUUGACUCAGGGUGACUAUAAGCAAUGGUGAAAUUCCUUCAAGUUUCAGACAGGCGGUCAAGAAAGGAGCGGUGAUGUUGAGUUUAGGUAAUUCUUAUGUGUGACACCCAAUAUGUGAGUUGUUCACUUUCACGCAUGUCAGUGAUCGGUGUGUGAUGGCAUUGGACGGGUACUCUGAAAGUUGGGAGCACAAGCUAGAGUAACAAGGAACUUAGUUUUGCUCGAGUGUUGACCGUGGUCAAGAAAAGAAGGGACUACAAGUUGUAGGUGGAGUUAUAUGUAGUCUUUGGAGUAGCAGUGGAACUCAUGGGAUAAGCUCAAGUCCAAUGUACAUGGAAGUUUGACGCACUGAAGAAUUCAAGGUGGUGGAGAAUAUUCGCCAAGGUGGAGUUUGUUAGAGUUGUGUCGAAUAUUGUGUACAAAGUAAGUUACAGUUGGACUAUGAGUUGUAUUGUGUUUAUAUAGGAUGCGGAGUCGUGUCCUAGUAGGACACUUGUAUCCUAGGCCUCUCGUAUAUAGCGGGGUAGACACACGAUGUAACAUAUGCCAACAUAUUAGCACCGGAACGCAGGGGAAGCCGGCGGCAUGUGCCAGUGUCCAGGGCGACCGGGUGUGGUAUUGUAGCGGUAUCAUGGGGAAGAGCGCCCAUAGUCAGGCCCCGAGGAUGUAGCCAUAUCGUUGAACCUCGUUAACAAAUCUCGGUACCGUGCUCGUGUGAUUGCUUGGUCUUCGAAUGAUCGACGGAGUGCCUCGGAUUUAUUCUAACAUAAGUAAGAUUAAGAUACAACACAAAGGCUACACAACUGCAACACCCAACACACACGAGAAGGAUCGAGGUACAAUAGAGUAGAACCAGAAAAUGAGUUACGACAAGCAGCCAAAACCAAGAACUUAGCACCCAUCACCACUAGGCAGACCAAGAAGAGCGGAAACUAGCAUUGUUGGAUCAGUCGAAAGGAGAAUCAACACCGAGAAGACCAAGAGAAGAAGCCACCUGCUACCCUGCGAACACUCAACACUUUGAAGAACUAGGAGAGGCGCAACCACCGUCGAAGGGCUUCCCAAUGCCUAGCCACGACGCGACAGAGAGAGCCACAGACCGUGACGAAGGGCAAUGUUCCGCCGAGACAGCCCCGCACCUCCUCUGGGCCACACCACGGCCACCAUCACAAAUAGAGGGAACCAGAGCACUAUGCGAGGCAACCAAACCUCAAGAGUCGUCGAAGGGCACCAAAACAUGAGACCUCACCGCCGCCACAAGCCCCCAAGAGAGAGAUCGACCAAUAGCACAGGGAUGACCAAGGCAAAGAACGCCGCCACAAUUCACUUCCGGAACCACCACCAAACAAUCCAUCAGCCCAACCACACACCAACAGAUCAACCGCACUCGAGCCGAGACGACAAACGAACCAUAGCAGCUCAAUGGCUCCAAAGACAACGCCCCCAAGGGGGUAACGAUGUCAAAGACCUCGUCGAUGUCCGAUCCACAGAUGGAUCUAGGCUUUCGCCUGGAGCACAUUAGAGGACACAAGGCAGGAGCUUGACAAUGACGCCUCCAGGGAGGAAAACGGCGCCGGAAGGCGUCGCCAUCAUCGAUGCUGGCAAGGCCGAAACAAGGCUUUCGCCUCAAGCAUCACAGGCCUGACCUCUCCGCAUACAUUGGUCGUUGUGUCCAGCAAGCAUAGGAGCGCGAGACCUCCCAACAUCCAGCAACUCCGCGGUGAGCGUCCUCACCGUUGACUGCGGGGUGCACCUCCAUUGACACAGCUGCUCACCUCGAGCACCGUCGCCGACAGGAGGGGAUGUCGAGCCUGGCCGCCACAACUUCCCCACCACCAACUUCCCCCAGAUCCAUCUCCUCAGCCUAACUCGCCGGACUGGGAACUAGCCCACAUGAACCAGAGCCAACGAGCCGAGCACGUCCGAUGCUCACCCUGGACAGCACCACCGGAGGUUGCCAGCCCGGCACCGCGCCCCUGCAGCCGGAAAGAGCCCCGGGUGCCGUCCCAGCCCCCCACCUAAGCGCGUAGGGAGCAUGCCAGCCAGAUCUGGUCCUCCCAGCCGCCCAUACGCGCCCGCUGUUGCACGCCCUCCACCACGAGACACGCGAAGCUGCCAGAGACGAGCAGAAUGCCGACGCCUAGAGAAGCCGCCGCCAGGAUGGGAAGACCGCGCCCCGCCCCCAUAGGUGGCGAUCCGCCUGGGUCGCAACGCAAUCGAGUGUAGAACGACCGCCCCACCGCCACCUUCACUGGCCACGCAUGGGCUUCGCCGGCGUCCCCUCCGGCGGCGGCGAUGCGGGGGAAGGAGGAGCGGUAGGGCCUGGCAACGGCGCGACUAGGGUUUCCCCCGCCUCACCCUAUCCCAUUAUGCUUCUGAUCUUAUCUGAAAUAAAGACGGACACAUGCUCAUGCAGGUGUGUCCAUGCUACUGCUAGCAGCAUCGAUCCAGAGCAUACGGCAAAUACUACCUCCGUCCUGAUUUAUUGGCCCCCCUUUAUAAUUUGUGCUAGAUUUUGAUCAAAGAUUUAACUAAUAAAAUGUUAGUGCAUGCCAACAAAAAUUACAUCGUUGGAUUUGUAUUUGAAUAUAGUUUUCAAUUAUAUAAUUUUUUGUGAUAUGCAUAAAUAUUUUGUUAGUUAAAUUUAUGGUCAAAAUUUAGCACAGAUUAUGAUGGGGCCAAUAAACCAGGACAUGCGUAGUACAAGCUAGCAGCUAGAAAAAACAUACCAUGAUCGUCGCACAAGACCAUACCUAUUGCAAAGAAGGACCAAUAAAAUGGUACUCUCUCGAUUCCAUAUUAGUUGUCUCUUAAAUAGUACCGAAAUAUGUUAAGAUACAUAUGUUUAAGCGACAACUCAUAUGUAACUAUCAAGAACAAUUAUACAAAAGGCAUAUUGUUUCAAACGUCCUUCCUAUAAGGCUUUUAUUACCAUAGUCAUAAUGUGCAUAAUAUGUUACCAAUGGAAUUUUUUCUUUUUGAUACCACGAAAACUCAUUUUCAUAAAACAUAAAGUUCUUAAUAAUAUGAUUUUAAAAUUAGAUUAUUCUAAUCUUAAAUAUAAUUAUCCAUACUAAAAAUAUUGUCCACACACUUGCGCUCUUUUUUUCUGAAAGAGUUGAGGUCUCUCUGGCCUUCUUUUUCCUUGCUCCCAGAUUCAGAAACAAAGCAGACCAUCACGAUAGUACUCGCUCUGUUCGAAAUUACUUGUAACAAAAAUGGAUGUAUCUACAACUAAAAUACAUCUAGAUACAUUUAUUUCUUCGACGAGUAAUUCCGAACGAAGGGAGUAGUAGACUGAUUGUCCAGGUGUCUGGUGAUAAAACGGCACGUUGGGUUUGUUUCUUCGAAAGAGAAAGGCAAUGCCUCCGGGCUCAGCUCAGAUAACUGCCGUUUGUUGUCUUCUGGACAAUUGCUACUUUGUUCAUCCUCCAAGAUCAAAGAUUAUUGCUCCCUUAACUGUUCAUACAUUCAGCUAUCAGAUAGUACAUGCUCUUUAAAAUGUGGUGUCGUCCUAAUAAAUCGAUGAAGUUAUCUGUUUCUGAAGGUUUGGCUUCAGACCUUUUGCUAUUUUUCCACAUUGCUAGAUCAAUACUUGUGUUGAAUUUUUUCAAACCAUAAAAUAAAAUUUCAGAGAGAUCUCAAACAGACCGACGCACUCCUGUGAAGCAUGCAUAACUCAAAUUUCUAUCUUGCUUUCAGGCCAGUAACCACUCAUCAUUUUUGUUGCCCGGUAUUUCGACCGGAAGGCCUGAACAACCCCUCAACCAUGUACCACUGUCUUGUUUGAUGCAGCCCGGCAAAUUUGCUAAUGUAUAUGAUGCAUAAGUUGCCGUUGCCAGAGCACAACACGUGCUGCUGUUACGCAAAUGCGAAGCCAACGUAUUCGUUCAGAUGAUCAUGUCAAAUGGGUGAGAUCGAAGGUGGGAAAACAUUAGCUUUUGCACAAAAACCUCAUAAUUUUUUUCCAAACAAUGAAUCCUCGUAAUUUACAUCAUGGUAGUACAAUUCAGACCGCACAACGGCAUACUUCACCGCAAGCGUGUGCACACACACAUACACACCUUACUUGCCGGGAACAAAGUUGGUGGCGAAUGCCCAUGCGUUGUUGUUGACGGGGUCGGAGAGGUGGUCAGCGAGGUUCUCUAGUGGACCCUUGCCGGUGACGAUGGCUUGCACAAAGAAACCGAACAUGGAAAACAUAGCGAGGCGACCGUUCUUGAUCUCCUUAACCUUGAGCUCGGCGAAUGCCUCAGGGUCGUCGGCAAGGCCGAGCGGAUCAAAGCUGCCGCCCGGGUAGAGCGGGUCAACGAUCUCACCGAGCGGUCCACCGGCAAUGCGGUAGCCCUCAACGGCGCCCAUGAGCACGACCUGACAAGCCCAGAUGGCAAGGAUACUUUGUGCGUGCACAAGGCUUGGGUUGCCGAGGUAGUCGAGGCCGCCCUCGCUGAAGAUCUGGGAUCCAGCCUUGAACCAAACAGCCUCGCCGAACUUCACACCGUUGCGGGCGAGCAGCUCGGGGAAGACGCAACCGAGCGCGCCAAGCAUGGCCCAACGGCAGUGGAUCACCUCCAGCUCGCGGUUCUUGGCGAAGGUCUCGGGGUCAGCCGACAGACCAGCGGUGUCCCACCCGUAGUCGCCGGGGAACUCACCGGUCAGGUAGCUCGGGGGCUCACCAGAAAGCGGGCCAAGAUAGAGCACGCGGUCAGAGCCGUACCACGGGCUGCCGGAGGCAACCUGCUUGACCUUUGCUGCAGUCUUGCGCAUGGUAACGCGAGCCUCCCCGAAAAGAGAUGGCGAUGGUAAGCUCUUCACUGCCUUGCCGGCGAAGGCUGGGGAGGAGAGUGACAUGGUGGUUGCGGCCAUUCUGAUUGAUUAGGUUCUGUGUUGUUCUCCAAGAAUGAGGAGUGAAGGUGGAGAUGGCUUGAGAGGAUUGGAGCAGGGGGGCUUCUUAAGGCAGAGGGCGGAGAGAGGGAAUCGACCGUUGUGCUGAAGAAAUCUGUAUUUUGGAUGUCAUUGGUGCAGAGUGAGAGCCACAAGGAGAUCAGAUACACUUUUAAGAUCUUGUGGAUAUGGCUAGCUGGGAAUCUCCUUAGAGAGCAGUUAUUGGAUGACACGCUGGUAUGCACGUGAGCAUAUCAUGUAUUUUCCCCCCAAAGGACAUUAUAGGAUAUCCAUUCUUGCAACCAAGGAUUGCCACCGCAUUUGGUGAGCAAAUUUCUAUUUGACUGACUCUACAUUUUACUGACAUAAUUGGAUAUCCCAUUAUUACUUUUUGACGGCUACGGCGGGCUUACGCCGGCCUGAAUCAUUUUGAUUAUCAUAAGUUAGAGUUGUGUCGAAUAUUGUGUACAAGGUACGUUACAGUUGGACUCUGAGUUGUAUUGUAUUUAUAUAGGAUGUAGAGUCGUGUCCUAGUAGGACACUUGUAUCCUAGGCCUCUCGUAUAUAGCGGAGGUAGACACACGAUAUAACCUAUGCCAACAUAAUAUCACCGGAACGCAGGGGAAGCCGGCGGCAUGUGACGGUGUUCAGGGCGACCGGGUGCUGUAUUGUAGCGGUAUCAUGGGGAAGAGCGCCCAUAGUCAGGCCCCGGGGAUGUAGCCAUAUCGGUGAACCUCGUUAACAAAUCUCGGUAUCGUGCUCAUGUGAUUGCUUGGUCCUCGGAUGAUCGACGGACUCGAAUUUAUUUUAACAAGUGGUAUCAUGAGCUACGUUGUCCGGAGGUUGUGGAUUGUUGAUCUAGAGAAAUUAUCGAGUCUGAGAUUGCAGCCAGAAGCGGCGUGGUUCUCGACGAGAUUGAAAAAGAUAGCGACAAUAUUUUGCCGAAGCAAUUAGGCGAGUUCGUCGUCGGUGUUGCAGAUCAGCGGAUGUUGGUCCUUGGAAUCUUUGUGGAGCAAUCAAGAGGCAGUAGCACAGGUUUGGCAUAUCGAAUCGGUACGCAGGCGGUGAAUCUUGAUCUCGGCGAGUUGACUUGAGGCGCGUGGGCGUAUGCCACCAGCAGGGAGACGUGCGGCGAGAGUAUUUAGCAAAAACUAUCAUAAUUCGUGGAACCGUGCCUACAAACUACCACUUUACAAAUUUGUGCCGAAAACUACCAUUUUCAAACUAAUCCUUGACUAAAAACUACCAAGUCUGAAAAGAGCCCGAUUUGGCUCUUUUAAGCGCGUUUCUGCCAGAGUUGGCCCACACAUAAGGAGGCUAAAAAAACAAUCGGGUCCUUAGUUUUUUUUUUCAAAAAAGCGAUCCACUUCUUGGCGAGGCCCAGCACGCUCGCGGCGGCGGCCGCGGCUGCUGCGCACGCACGCAAGCUAGCCGGCCAGCAAACGGCGAGCGUCGUGGCGGUGGUGCUUGUGCUCCUCUACUUCUCCUCGCUCCAGCAGCUCGCUGAGCAGCAGCAACCCAGCCCCUCUUCUCCUUCUCCACUGUCUCCUCUCCAUCUCCUUCUCCUCUGCCUCCUCUCCUUCUCUUGCAGCAGCAGCACGGGCACAAGCUCCUCCUCUCGCGCAGCCCCGCCGCACUGCACAGCCGCACCUCGUCGCAGCCCCACUGCCGCACGCGCACACGCAGCCGUGCGCACAGCCCUUGCGCAACCGCUCGAGCAGCCGCCCCGCCGGCUCGCCGCAGCAGCGCGUGCAGGAUCCUCCCCUUGUCUGACGCAGCCGGGCCCCAUGGCACGCGCAGCUCGCAGGGCCGCCGCGAGCUCGCCACGCCGCCGCCGUCGCGCAUCCCAGUGCCUCCUCGCACGCGUGCACGCAGCCGCCCGCCCCCUCCAGUCGCUGGAGGACUGGAUUGCUUUUUUUUAAAAAAACUAGGGACCCGAUUGCUUUUUUAGCCUGCUUAUGUGUGAGCCAACUCUGUCAGAAACGCGCUUAAAAGAGACAAAUCGGACUGUUUUCAGACUUGGUAGUUUUUUGCCACGGUUUAGAAAAAAAGCGGUAGUUUUUUGCACAAAAUCGUAAAGUGGUAGUUUUUUGUUAUGGUUCCAUGAAUUUUGGUAGUUUUUGGUUAAAUACUCCGUGCGGCGAUCGAUGACCCGAUCGGGCGAGCGUACUGGCGGCGGCCUAGCGUACAAGCGUACCUCUAUACUGAUGGGAUCGUUGGCCGUUUGCUGGCCCAUGGCCGGUGUGGAGGCUGCUAGGGAGGCUGCGUGCGUACAGGUACUACGUGAGAUUUGUUUUGGAAAAAAAGAAGACCGGGUCCUCGUGUACGACACGGAAAGAGGCAGCAGCAGAACGAAUCGGCAAAGGAAAUCUAUUGAUACAUGUUUCACGUCCAUUGGAAAUAGCAAGGCUGUGGCAAGGCAAAAGCUAGCACCGUGAGUUGAGCCUAGUAGCUUUUACACGCGAGGACCAGAAUGUUUUCUGGUUGGAACUGCUGUAGUACGCGGAGGCUGUUCGUCUACUUGGGGCAUCACGUGGAAAGCUUGAAUAAUUUUUCACAAGGUCAGUCAUAUGAAGAACCAUGGCGCCAACGGGUAUCAGGUUUAAGGUGAAGAAAUUUACAAAAUUGAAAACCUUGGGUUAUGACAGACAAGGGUGAAAGUUUUGAUGGCACAACAGUGAUGCUUGAAGGCGUUGCAGGAAGUCAGGUCAGCUAAGAUGGAAUUAUUAUGUGUUGGAUGGAAAUUUGCGGAAGACGAUUUGGGAGCCUCGAGCGUGUCAUACAGACGAACGAGUUCGGCUGGGUCGGACUAGGCAGUCUGAGGGAUCGACGCAAGUCGGUUGGUACAGAAGACGGUGGUGGAUCGGCGACGACGACAUAGGAACGUGAUGCUGAUGGUGACCGACUUCUGGACGUGGAAACACGUGGCGCAGGCCCUGAGGGCUUGUGUGGCUUCGACAAGACUAUGGUGCGGGUUUGAUUCAAGGUGAUGUACACACGGAGCUUGAAGUCGACGGGGCGCAAGGGUGGACUGAUCAUCUACCAUGGAGUCAUGUUGAAGGUGGAGUUGGAGUCUGUAAGACUUCACUUGGUGCUGGAUUGAGGGGCUACGGUGUAAGGAUCCAGGGAAUCGAAGCCUAUUCAGCAGGAAAAUCGAGUGACACACAAUUCGGACUGGAGCCCAGUGGUCUGAUGGAAGCGUGAAACUCAUCAUCGGUCGGUGAUGAUCGGUGGUACUCUGUAGUGGGGGUUGAGUGGUGUGGGUCCGCGGCCCUUGAGACUCGACCGGGACAGCGGAGGCUCGACGCGGCAAUAGCGGCAAGGCGUACGGUACUCACGGGACAUGGAGAUGGGCCAGGGCUCUGGUGGUCAUACAUGUGGUGAGACAACUGCGAAUUUGACUCAGGGUGACUAUAAGCAAUGGUGAAAUUCCUUCAAGUUUCAGACAGGCGGUCAAGAAAAGAGCGGUGAUGUUGAGUUCAGGUAAUUCUUAUGUGUGACACCCAAUAUGUGAGUUGUUCACUUUCACGCAUGUCAGUGAUCGGUGUGUGAUGGCAUUGGACGGGUACUCUGAAAGUUGGGAGCACAAGCUAGAGUAACAAGGAACUUAGUUUUGCUCGAGUGUUGACCGUGGUCAAGAAAAGAAGGGACUACAAGUUGUAGGUGGAGUUAUAUGUAGUCUUUGCAGUAGCAGCGAAACUCAUGGGAUAAGCUCAAGUCCAAUGUACAUGGAAGUUUGACGCACUGAAGAAUUCAAGGUGGUGGAGAAUAUUCGCCAAGGUGGAGUUUGUUAGAGUUGUGUCGAAUAUUGUGUACAAAGUAAGUUACAGUUGGACUAUGAGUUGUAUUGUGUUUAUAUAGGAUGCAGAGUCGUGUCCUAGUAGGACACUUGUAUCCUAGGCCUCUCAUAUAUAGUGGGGUAGACACACGAUGUAACAUAUGCCAACAUAAUAGCACCGGAACGCAGGGGAAGCCGGCGGCAUGUGCUGGUGUCCAGGGCGACCGGGUGUGGUAUUGUAGCGGUAUCAUGGGGAAGAGCGCCCAUAGUCAGGCCCCGGGGAUGUAGCUAUAUCGUUGAACCUCGUUAACAAAUCUCGGUAUCGUGCUCGUGUGAUUGCUUGGUCUUCGGACGAUCGACGGAGUGCCUCGGAUUUAUUCUAACGUAAGUAAGAUUAAGAUACAACACAAAGGCUACACAACUGCAGCACCCAACACACACGAGAAGGACCGAGGUACAACAGAGAAGAACCAGAAAAUGAGUUACGACAAGUAGCCGAAACCAAGAACUUAGCACCCAUCACCACUAGGCAGACCAAGAAGAGCGGAAACUAGCAUUGUUGGAUCAGUCGAAAGGAGAAUCAACACCGAGAAGACCAAGAGAAGAAGCCGCCUGCUACCCUGCGAACACUCAACACUUUGAAGAACUAGGAGAGUCGCAACAACCGUCGAAGGGCUUCCCAAUGCCUAGCCACGACGCGACAGAGAGAGCCACAGACCGUGACGAAGGGCAAUGUUCCGCCGAGACAGCCCCGCACCUCCUCUGGGCCACACCACGGCCACCAUCACAAAUAGAGGGAACCAGAGCACUAUGCGAGGCAACCAAACCUCAAGAGUCGUCGAAGGGCACCAAAACAUGAGACCUCACCGCCGCCACAAGCCCCCAAGAGAGAGAUCGACCAAUAGCACAGGGAUGACCAAGGCAAAGAACGCCGCCACAAUUCACUUCUGCAACCACCACCAAACAAUCCAUCAGCCCAACCACACACCAACAGACCAACCGCACUCGAGCCGAGACGACAAACGAACCAUAGCAGCUCAAUGGCUCCAAAGACAACGCCCCCAAGGGGGUAACGAUGUCAAAGACCUCGUCGAUGUCCGAUCCACAGAUGGAUCUAGGCUUUCGCCCGGAGCACAUUAGAGGACACAAGGAAGGAGCUUGACAAUGACGCCUCCAGGGAGGAAAACGGCGCCGGAAGGCGUCGCCAUCAUCGAUGCUGGCAAGGCCGAAACAAGGCUUUCGCCUCAAGCAUCACAGGCCUGACCUCUCCGCAUACAUUGGUCGUUGUGUCCGGCAAGCAUAGGAGCGCAAGACCUCCCAACAUCCAGCAACUCCGCGGCGAGCGUCCUCACCGUUGACUGCGGGGUGCACCUCCAUUGACACAGCUGCUCACCUCGAGCACCGUCGCCGACGGGAGGGGAUGUCGAGCCUGGCCGCCACAACUUCCCCACCACCAACUUCCCCCAGAUCCACCUCCUCAGCCUAACUCGCCGGACUGGGAACCAGCCCACAUGAACCAGAGCCAACGAGCCGAGCACCUCCGAUGCUCACCCUGGACAGCACCACCGGAGGUCGCCAGCCCGGCACCGCGCCCCUGCAGCCGGAAAGAGCCUCGGGUGCCGUCCCAGCCCCCCACCUGAGCGCGUAGGGAGCAUGCCAGCCAGAUCUGGUCCUCCCAGCCGCCCAUACGCGCCCGCUGUUGCACGCCCUCCACCACGAGACACGCGAAGCUGCCAGAGACGAGCAGAAUGCCGACGCCUAGAGAAGUCGCCGCCAGGAUGGGAAGACCGCGCCCCGCCCCCAUAGGUGGCGAUCCGCCUGGGUCGCAACGCAAUCGAGUGUAGAACGACCGCCCUGCCGCCACCUUCACUGGCCACGCAUGGGCUUCGCCCGCGUCCCCUCCGGCGGCGGCGAUGCGGGGGAAGGAGGAGCGGUAGGGCCUGGCAACGGCGCGACUAGGGUUUCCCCCGCCUCACCCUAUCCCAUUAUGCUUCUGAUCUUAUCUGAAAUAAAGACGGACACAUGCUCAUGCAGGUGUGUCCAUGCUACUGCUAGCAGCAUCGAUCCAGAGCAUACGGCAAAUACUACCUCCGUCCUGAUUUAUUGACCCCCCUUUAUAAUUUGUGCUAGAUUUUGAUCAAAGAUUUAGCUAAUAAAAUGUUAGUGCAUGUCAACAAAAAUUACAUCGUUGGAUUUGUAUUUGAACAUAGUUUUCAGUUAUAUAAUUUUUUGUGAUAUGCAUAAAUAUUUUGUUAGUUAAAUUUAUGGUUAAAAUUUAGCACAGAUUAUGACGGGGGCCAAUAAACCAGGACAUGCGUAGUACAAGCUAGCAGCUAGAAAAAACAUACCAUGAUCGUCGCACAAGACCAUACCUAUUGCAAAGAAGGACCAAUAAAAUGGUACUCUCUCGAUCCCAUAUUAGUUGUCUCUUAAAUAGUACCGAAAUAUGUUAAGAUACAUAUGUUUAAGCGACAACUCAUAUGUAACUAUCAAGAACAAUUAUACAAAAGGCAUAUUGUUUCAAACGUCCUUCCUAUAAGGCUCUUAUUACCAUAGUCAUAAUGUGCAUAAUAUGUUACCAAUGGAAUUUUUUCUUUUUGAUACCACGAAAACUCAUUUUCAUAAAACAUAAAGUUCUUAAUAAUAUGAUUUUAAAAUUAGAUUAUUCUAAUCUUAAAUAUAAUUAUCCAUACUAAAAAUAUUGUCCACACACUUGCGCUCUUUUUUUCUGGAAGAGUUGAGGUCUCUCUGGCCUUCUUUUUCCUUGCUCCCAGAUUCAGAAACAAAGCAGACCAUCAUGAUAGUACUCGCUCCGUUCGAAAUUACUUGUAACAAAAAUGGAUGUAUCUACAACUAAAAUACAUCUAGAUACAUUCAUUUCUUCGACGAGUAAUUCCGAACGAAGGGAGUAGUAGACUGAUUGUCCAGGUGUCUGGUGAUAAAACGGCACGUUGGGUUUGUUUCUUCGAAAGAGAAAGGCAAUGCCUCCGGGCUCAGCUCAGAUAACUGCCGUUUGUUGUCUUCUGGACAAUUGCUACUUUGUUCAUCCUCCAAGAUCAAAGAUUAUUGCUCCCUUAACUGUUCAUACAUUCAGCUAUCAGAUAGUACAUGCUCUUUAAAAUGUGGUGUCGUCCUAAUAAAUCGAUGAAGUUAUCUGUUUCUGAAGGUUUGGCUUCAGACCUUUUGCUAUUUUUCCACAUUGCUAGAUCAAUACUUGUGUUGAAUUUUUUCAAACCAUAAAAUAAAAUUUUAGAGAGAUCUCAAACAGACCGACGCACUCCUGUGAAGCAUGCAUAACUCAAAUUUCUAUCUUGCUUUCAGGCCAGUAACCACUCAUCAUUUUUGUUGCCCGGUAUUUCGACCGGAAGGCCUGAACAACCCCUCAACCAUGUACCACUGUCUUGUUUGAUGCAGCCCGGCAAAUUUGCUAAUGUAUAUGAUGCAUAAGUUGCCGUUGCCAGAGCACAACACGUGCUGCUGUUACGCAAAUGCGAAGCCAACGUAUUCGUUCAGAUGAUCAUGUCAAAUGGGUGAGAUCGAAGGUGGGAAAACAUUAGCUUUUGCACAAAAACCUCAUAAUUUUUUUCCAAACAAUCGAAUCCUCGUAAUUUACAUCAUGGUAGUACAAUUCAGACCGCACAACGGCAUACUUCACCGCAAGCGUGUGCACACACACAUACACACCUUACUUGCCGGGAACAAAGUUGGUGGCGAAUGCCCAUGCGUUGUUGUUGACGGGGUCGGAGAGGUGGUCAGCGAGGUUCUCUAGUGGACCCUUGCCGGUGACGAUGGCUUGCACAAAGAAACCGAACAUGGAAAACAUAGCGAGGCGACCGUUCUUGAUCUCCUUAACCUUGAGCUCGGUGAAUGCCUCAGG